rnacentral:rRNA from 1 species
AUUGAACGCUGGCGGAAUGCUUUACACAUGCAAGUCGAACGGCAGCACGGACUUCGGUCUGGUGGCGAGUGGCGAACGGGUGAGUAAUACAUCGGAACGUGCCCAGUCGUGGGGGAUAACGUAGCGAAAGCUACGCUAAUACCGCAUACGAUCUAAGGAUGAAAGCGGGGGAUCGCAAGACCUCGCGCGAUUGGAGCGGCCGAUGGCAGAUUAGGUAGUUGGUAGGGUAAAGGCCUACCAAGCCGACGAUCUGUAGCUGGUCUGAGAGGAUGAUCAGCCACACUGGGACUGAGACACGGCCCAGACUCCUACGGGAGGCAGCAGUGGGGAAUUUUGGACAAUGGGCGAAAGCCUGAUCCAGCCAUGCCGCGUGCAGGAUGAAGGCCUUCGGGUUGUAAACUGCUUUUGUACGGAACGAAAAGGUUUGGCCUAAUAAGCUGAGCUCAUGACGGUACCGUAAGAAUAAGCACCGGCUAACUACGUGCCAGCCGCCGCGGUAA